rnacentral:rRNA from 1 species
UGGGGAAUAUUGGACAAUGGGCGCAAGCCUGAUCCAGCCAUGCCGCGUGAGUGAUGAAGGCCCUAGGGUUGUAAAGCUCUUUCACCGGUGAAGAUAAUGACGGUAACCGGAGAAGAAGCCCCGGCUAACUUCGUGCCAGCAGCCGCGGUAAUACGAAGGGGGCUAGCGUUGUUCGGAUUUACUGGGCGUAAAGCGCACGUAGGCGGACUAUUAAGUCAGGGGUGAAAUCCCGGGGCUCAACCCCGGAACUGCCUUUGAUACUGGUAGUCUUGAGUUCGAGAGAGGUGAGUGGAAUUCCGAGUGUAGAGGUGAAAUUCGUAGAUAUUCGGGGGAACACCAGUGGCGAACGCGGCUCACUGGCUCGAUACUGACGCUGAGGUGCGAAAGCGUGGGGAGCAAACAGG